AUUGGAAAAUGGUGCAACUGGCCGGAAGAAAGUAACUAAUGGAAUUUCAGCAUCCAUUCUUCAAAAUGGAGGAAACCAGCCUUCUGCAAAAUAUCAAGCACGAGGUGCCAACAAUUAAAAUUGAGGAUAUCAGAAUCUACCCUAAUGUGUUCCAGAGAAUGAUGGCUGAAGUACAAGAGAUGAGAGAGAAGCAGAGCAACAUGGAUGCCAAAUUUGCAGAACUGAAGAAGUGCUUAUUAUUAUCAAGAUUUCUGGUGCUUAUUUCCAAAGUUUUUAAGUUUGAUUGCCUCUGAGUUUAGAAACUGAACUCUUGUUUUCCAUGGCACAUUAGUGAGUUUUACUUCUUUUAAGUAAAACCACAGCACGGAAUCAAAUGCUUUAGUGCUUGGACUGCUGUUCAUGUUCCAAUGGCUUGGAUCAUAUAACUCUGGCUGACUAGUAGACCACUGUAUAAAUCAGAAAUGAAGUCACCAGCAUCCAAGACAGCCAUUCAGGUAUGAAUAAUAUAGCAGAUAGCAGUUUCUAUUUGACACUACAAAAACAGGAAAGGAUGUUAAAUGUAUACGUUCUGAAUUUAAGUACUCUAACCUACAUUCAUGGCUUAUUUGCUAAUUCUUGGUAGCUUCAAGGAUAAUCUAUGAUUCCUUUCUCUGAAGAUGUUUUUUAACUUUGUCUAUAAAAUGGAUACUUUAAGAUAUUUUUCAAUGCUUUAUAAAGAACCAUAUAGUGCAUAAUGCAGCAUACAAUGGAUCUAAUAUUAGGGUAUUUGCUCAGGCAGUAGCAUUCAAAGGCAAAAUUUAUUUUUUUAAACUUCUAUUUUAGAUUCGGGGGGAUACAUGUGCAGGAUUGUUACUUGGGUAUAUUGUAUGAGGCUAAGGUGUAGGGUAUGAAUGAUCCCAUCACUCAGAUAGUGAGCUUAGUACCCAGUAGUUAGUUGGGUUUGUUUUUUCUAUUUCAAUUUUUAUUGAGUAAUACUCUCCAGUUAAAGAGCAUACAUUUAAGGUUUACAACAUGACAAUUUGGUACACACACAUGUUUUAAAAUUAUCAUAAUGAAGCUAAUUAAUCCUUCUAAUUCAUAAACUUGGAAUAUCAUUCCAUUUAUCUGCACUGUCUUUAAUGUCCUUAUUUACAUAUAUAUACACACAUACAUGUAUAUGUGUAUAUACAUAUAAACACAUAUACAUGUAUAUGUGUAUAUACAUAUAUACACAUAUACAUGUAUGUGUGUAUAUA
rnacentral:lncRNA from 1 species